rnacentral:lncRNA from 1 species
UCACGUCCGCUACAGGGAGUGUCUUCCCAUGGCCUCCGGAAGCAUUCGGCAGUCCACAAGCCACGCUUCAGAGAAGCCGCUCCGGGAACGCCGCGGCGCACCUCCGGAAGGGAUGACCUCCACGCCUUCUCCCCUCGCAGUCCACCCGAGCGGCGUGGGUCGCGAGAAGCCACCCAACCGCUCCGUCUUCCGGCUCCGGCGGUCCGCGGCAGCCAAUCAAAGGUGAAAGGUGUAGCAGUCACUCGGCCUACACCCACAGCAUCGACCUUGUGAACCCAGCGACCUGACUGCCUUGGGAGAAUUGAAGCGAAUGAGAGUGGGGAGUGUGAGAGGUGCGUUUGGUGCAGCAUUUCUGGCAUGGGAACAGAACUGGCCAGGAGGAAGUGACG